rnacentral:rRNA from 1 species
UACAGAGGGUGCGAGCGUUGUCCGGAAUCACUGGGCAUAAAGGGCGCGUAGGUGGUGGCUUAAGCGUGCGGUGAAAGCUCGGGGCUCAACUCCGAGUCGGCCGUGCGAACUGGGCUCACUGGAGCAUAGUAGAGGCAGGUGGAAUUCCGGGUGUAGCGGUGGAAUGCGUAGAGAUCCGGAAGAACACCGGUGGCGAAGGCGGCCUGCUGGGCUAUGGCUGACACUGAGGCGCGACAGCGUGGGGAGCAAACAGGG